UACGUAGGGGGCAAGCGUUGUCCGGAUUUAUUGGGCGUAAAGAGCGUGUAGGCGGCCUGACAGGUCUGCUGUGAAAACUCGAGGCUCAACCUCGAGAUGUCGGCGGAAACCGUCUGGCUAGAGUCCGGAAGAGGAGAGUGGAAUUCCUGGUGUAGCGGUGAAAUGCGCAGAUAUCAGGAGGAACACCAAUGGCGAAGGCAGAUCUCUGGGCCGUAACUGACGCUGAGGAGCGAAAGCAUGGGGAGCGAACAGG
rnacentral:rRNA from 1 species